UCAGCCCAGCUCUGAAGGGAUGUUUCAGUCCUGGUGAACCUAUAACAUAUGGACUCUUAAUAAGAUCACUAAGGAAGCAGUUCUAGGGACAUUCUCUUAUACUCUCUUACAUACCUGCUACUGUCACACAGAGCAAGAAAGCAUGGACAACAUAUUGGAUAGCAGGAUCUGGAUUUUAUACAACAUAUCUUGACAGCUUGAAAUAAUAGACUAAAGCCAAAUUGGUCAGCAAGAGGAUGGAAGGAAAGAGAAGCAGAAUUCCUACUAAGCCUGCAAACAGGAACACCAGGGCUUGACUAAUCUAAAAUUGACCACAGAUGAUUUGAUAAAGGCAGUGGCUCAGGCCUCUCCUUCUGCCUCCCCCUGUGUAAGUAAACUUGGU